GGGUUGUGAGGUUAAGUGACUAAGCGUACACGGUGGAUGCCUAGGCAGUCAGAGGCGAUGAAGGGCGUGCUAAUCUGCGAAAAGCGUCGGUAAGGUGAUAUGAACCGUUACAACCGGCGAUACCCGAAUGGGGAAACCCAGUGUGUUUCGACACACUAUCAUGUCAUGAAUACAUAGUGGCAUGAGGCGAACCGGGGGAACUGAAACAUCUAAGUACCCCGAGGAAAAGAAAUCAACCGAGAUUCCCCAGUAGCGGCGAGCGAACGGGGAGGAGCCCAGAACCUGAAUCGGCUUGUGUGUUAGUGGAAGCGUCUGGAAAGUCGCGCAGUAAAGGGUGAUAGCCCCGUACACUAAAAUGCACAGGUCGUGAGUUCGAUGAGUAGGGCGGGACACGUGACAUCCUGUCUGAAUAUGGGGGACCAUCCUCCAAGGCUAAAUACUCCUGACUGACCGAUAGUGAACCAGUACCGUGAGGGAAAGGCGAAAAGAACCCCGGCGAGGGGAGUGAAAUAGAACCUGAAACCGUGUACGUACAAGCAGUGGGAGCACCUUCGUGGUGUGACUGCGUACCUUUUGUAUAAUGGGUCAGCGACUUAUAUUUUGUAGCAAGGUUAACCGUAUAGGGGAGCCGUAGGGAAACCGAGUCUUAACUGGGCGAUUAGUUGCAAGGUAUAGACCCGAAACCCGGUGAUCUAGCCAUGGGCAGGUUGAAGGUUGGGUAACACUAACUGGAGGACCGAACCGACUAAUGUUGAAAAAUUAGCGGAUGACUUGUGGCUGGGGGUGAAAGGCCAAUCAAACCGGGAGAUAGCUGGUUCUCCCCGAAAGCUAUUUAGGUAGCGCCUCGUGAACUCAUCUUCGGGGGUAGAGCACUGUUUCGGCUAGGGGGCCAUCCCGGCUUACCAAACCGAUGCAAACUCCGAAUACCGAAGAAUGUUAUCACGGGAGACACACGGCGGGUGCUAACGUCCGUCGUGAAGAGGGAAACAACCCAGACCGCCAGCUAAGGUCCCAAAGUCAUGGUUAAGUGGGAAACGAUGUGGGAAGGCAUAGACAGCCAGGAUGUUGGCUUAGAAGCAGCCAUCAUUUAAAGAAAGCGUAAUAGCUCACUGGUCGAGUCGGCCUGCGCGGAAGAUGUAACGGGGCUAAACCAUGCACCGAAGCUGCGGCAGCGACGCUUAGGCGUUGUUGGGUAGGGGAGCGUUCUGUAAGCCGUUGAAGGUGGCCUGUGAGGGUUGCUGGAGGUAUCAGAAGUGCGAAUGCUGACAUAAGUAACGAUAAAGCGGGUGAAAAGCCCGCUCGCCGGAAGACCAAGGGUUCCUGUCCAACGUUAAUCGGGGCAGGGUGAGUCGACCCCUAAGGCGAGGCUGAAAAGCGUAGUCGAUGGGAAACAGGUUAAUAUUCCUGUACUUGGUGUUACUGCGAAGGGGGGACGGAGAAGGCUAGGCUGGCCGGGCGACGGUUGUCCCGGUUUAAGCGUGUAGGGGGUGUGACCUGGUAAAUCCGGUUGCAUACUAACCCUGAGGCGUGAUGACGAUGCACUACGGUGCAGAAGUAGUUGAUGCCCUGCUUCCAGGAAAAUCCUCUAAGCUCCAGGUAACAUUAAAUCGUACCCCAAACCGACACAGGUGGUCAGGUAGAGAAUACCAAGGCGCUUGAGAGAACUCGGGUGAAGGAACUAGGCAAAAUGGUGCCGUAACUUCGGGAGAAGGCACGCUGGCAUGUAGGUGAAGUCCCUCGCGGAUGGAGCUGAAGCCAGUCGAAGAUACCAGCUGGCUGCAACUGUUUAAUAAAAACACAGCACUGUGCAAACACGAAAGUGGACGUAUACGGUGUGACGCCUGCCCGGUGCUGGAAGGUUAAUUGAUGGGGUCAGCCGCAAGGCGAAGCUCUUGAUCGAAGCCCCAGUAAACGGCGGCCGUAACUAUAACGGUCCUAAGGUAGCGAAAUUCCUUGUCGGGUAAGUUCCGACCUGCACGAAUGGCGUAAUGAUGGCCAGGCUGUCUCCACCCGAGACUCAGUGAAAUUGAACUCGCUGUGAAGAUGCAGUGUACCCGCGGCAAGACGGAAAGACCCCGUGAACCUUUACUAUAGCUUGACACUGAACAUUGAGCCUUGAUGUGUAGGAUAGGUGGGAGGCUUUGAAGCGUGGACGCCAGUCUGCGUGGAGCCAUCCUUGAAAUACCACCCUUUAAUGUUUGAUGUUCUAACUCGGCCCCAUAAUCUGGGGUGAGGACAGUGUCUGGUGGGUAGUUUGACUGGGGCGGUCUCCUCCCAAAGAGUAACGGAGGAGCACGAAGGUUAGCUAAUCACGGUCGGACAUCGUGAGGUUAGUGCAAAGGCAUAAGCUAGCUUGACUGCGAGAGUGACGGCUCGAGCAGGUACGAAAGUAGGUCUUAGUGAUCCGGUGGUUCUGAAUGGAAGGGCCAUCGCUCAACGGAUAAAAGGUACUCCGGGGAUAACAGGCUGAUACCGCCCAAGAGUUCAUAUCGACGGCGGUGUUUGGCACCUCGAUGUCGGCUCAUCACAUCCUGGGGCUGAAGUAGGUCCCAAGGGUAUGGCUGUUCGCCAUUUAAAGUGGUACGCGAGCUGGGUUUAGAACGUCGUGAGACAGUUCGGUCCCUAUCUGCCGUGGGCGUUGGAAGAUUGAGAGGGGUUGCUCCUAGUACGAGAGGACCGGAGUGAACGCACCACUGGUGUUCGGGUUGUCAUGCCAAUGGCAUUGCCCGGUAGCUAAGUGCGGAAAAGAUAAGCGCUGAAAGCAUCUAAGCGCGAAACUUGCCUCAAGAUGAGUCUUCCCUGGGCCUUCAAGGCCCCUGAAGGAACGUUUAAGACUAAGACGUUGAUAGGCUGGGUGUGUAAGUGCAGCGAUGCAUUGAGCUAACCAGUACUAAUGAUCCGUGAGGCUUAACCUUACAACACCGAAGGUGUUU
rnacentral:rRNA from 1 species